AUGCUCCAUGGAAAGAGACAUGGGGGAUUAUUUGUCCUGUUCCCCAGAAGAGUACAUUUAAAAGGAGGAGGAAUUUGGAUCACUAAAAGAAAAAGAAAAAAAAGAAGGAUGAAACAGUCUCAUUGUGUCACCGAGGCUGAAGUGCAGUGGCAUAAUCAUGGCUUACUGCAGCCCCUACCUCUAGGCUCAAGCAAUCCUCCCAUCUCAGCUUCCUGUGUAGCUAGGAUGGAAAUGUUCUUUUUCUUAAAGGACACAGAAAGAAGGGGAUUGUCCGCAAAUGAAAAAGAAAGACUUCACUGA
rnacentral:lncRNA from 1 species